rnacentral:rRNA from 1 species
AGCUUCGGCUAAUUAUACUGGCUGUUAAAUCUAAAAUUAUUCUAAAAAAAUAAUUAUAGAUUAUUCAAUUGAUUGUAUUNACAGUUAAUUAAUUGCUACNUUUAUAUUAAGAGAAUUUAUUCUCGUAGACAGGUAUAAUAUCGAUUUUAUCGAGUAAAGUUCUAGAUGGUAAAAUUUUGAUUAUGACAUGGUUACCGUUUAUAUGUCUUGACCAAAUUACGUGCCAGCAGUCGCGGUAAUACGUAGAAGACUAGUGUUAUUCAUCUUUAGUAGGUUUAAAGGGUACCUAGACGGUAUGAUUAGUCUUAAAUAAGAUACGAUUAUACUAGAGUUAUAUAUGAGAAGGGGAGUAUUUAUGGAGUAGAGUUGAAAUUUUUUGAUACCAUAACGACUGGUAACGGCGAAAGCAACCUUUUAUCUAAUAACUGACGUUGAGGGACGAAGGCUCGGGUAGCGAACAGGAUUAGAUACCCUAGUAGUCCGAGCAGAGAAUGAUGAAUGCCAUAGAUUAGAUGUUUAUUUAGUCUAUAAAUGAAAGUGUAAGCAUUUCACCUCAAGAGUAAUGUGGCAACGCAGGAACUGAAAUCAUUAGACCGUUUCUGAAACCAGUAGUGAAGUAUGUUAUUUAAUUCGUAGUUACGCGAAAAACCUUACCACAACUUGAAUAUUAUCUUUAAGAUAUUACAAGCGUUGCACGGCUGUCUUCAGUUAAUGUCGUGAGAUAUUGGUUAAUUCCAUUAAAUUAACGGAAACCCUUGCUUUAUUUGC